ensembl:misc_RNA Y_RNA Y RNA
GGCUGGCCUGAGUGCAGUGGUGUCUGCAACUAAUUGAUCACUUCUAGUUACGGAUUCCUUUGUUCCUUCUCCACUCCCACUGCCUUAUUUCACUAGCAUAAA